rnacentral:tRNA from 6 species
GGAAGGGUGCAGGAGCGGUUUAACUGGCGGUCCUGGAAAGACCGUGUAUCGAAAGGUACCGUGGGUUCGAAUCCCACCCCUUCCGCCA